rnacentral:rRNA from 1 species
UACGUAGGGUGCAAGCGUUAAUCGGAAUUACUGGGCGUAAAGCGUGCGCAGGCGGCUCGGAAAGCAAGAUGUGAAAUCCCAGGGCUUAACCUUGGAAUGGCAUUUUUAACUACCGGGCUAGAGUGUGUCAGAGGGGGGUGGAAUUCCACGUGUAGCAGUGAAAUGCGUAGAGAUGUGGAGGAACACCGAUGGCGAAGGCAGCCCCCUGGGAUAACACUGACGCUCAGGCACGAAAGCGUGGGGAGCAAACAGG